rnacentral:rRNA from 1 species
AUUGAACGCUGGCGGCAGGCCUAACACAUGCAAGUCGAGCGGGAACUUCGGUUCUAGCGGCGGACGGGUGAGUAAUGCGUAGGAAGCUACCCGAUAGAGGGGGAUACCAGUUGGAAACGACUGUUAAUACCGCAUAAUGUCUACGGACCAAAGUGUGGGACCUUCGGGCCACAUGCUAUCGGAUGCGCCUACGUGGGAUUAGCUAGUUGGUGAGGUAAUGGCUCACCAAGGCGACGAUCCCUAGCUGGUUUGAGAGGAUGAUCAGCCACACUGGAACUGAGACACGGUCCAGACUCCUACGGGAGGCAGCAGUGGGGAAUAUUGGACAAUGGGCGCAAGCCUGAUCCAGCCAUGCCGCGUGUGUGAAGAAGGCCUUCGGGUUGUAAAGCACUUUCAGUAGGGAGGAAGAGUUGAGUGUUAAUAGUACUCAGCUUUGACGUUACCUACAGAAGAAGCACCGGCUAACUCUGUGCCAGCAGCCGCAGUAAAAC